UACAGGGGGGGCAAGCGUUGUUCGGAAUUACUGGGCGUAAAGGGCCAGUAGGCGGCCAACUAAGUCGGAUGUGAAAUCCCCAGGCUUAACCUGGGAACUGCAUCCGAUACUGGAUGGCUUGAAUUCGGGAGAGGGAUGCAGAAUUCCAGGUGUAGCGGUGAAAUGCGUAGAUAUCUGGAGGAAUACCGGUGGCGAAGGCGGCAUCCUGGACCGACAUUGACGCUGAGCGGCGAAAGCUAGGGGAGCAAACGGG
rnacentral:rRNA from 1 species